UCUUUACAGUUAGAGCAGUGAGGCAAACCAUGGGAGUAGGUCCUGUUUGAAACCUGAUAUUGAUUUCAGGGUUGGACUAAUCCCAGAGUUUGUGUAGAUUUUCCUGGUUCAGCUCUAACUUCCAGUCAUGUGGCAUCAUUCUCCUUGCCUCCAGCACUGCAGUGCCAGGCUCCCCCCACGGACCCCUUGGGACUGUGACAGCUCUCCUGCCCCGGGAGCAGCGCGGGGCUGAGCCCUGCCGUGGUGGUGCCUGGAGCAGUGGCCAGCCCGGCAGAACUCCUCCCUUUCCUGCACGGAGCUGCUCGAAAUGGCAGAGUCCAUGUGACACAAUUUGGAAAGCCAGCUGCAGCCUUGUGAUGUAAUCCAUGAGAGAGGCACAGAUCCCACCGGGUGCCUCACGUAGGUUCCAGUCUCCUUUUCUUCAAGCUCUGACUUCUCCUGAGGGGGCUGCACCCUGCCACAGGGAGAAAGUGAAAAAUGGACAUUUUUUCUGCCUAACUCCUCUUCUAUGGCCAGCUCCUGUUGCACUUCUGCUGGAGUGCUGUGCUUCGCAGGAGCAUCGGAUUUUGCUGCAAGGAGGCAACACAGGAAGAGAUUAAUACCAGAAAUACAGACACACCCUUUGACUCCUUCUUAGCAGAGCACAAGUCUGAAAUGACAGCCAGCACUACCACCAGGGCCAGGAGCUGGACUCAGUGAUCCCUGUGGCUCCCUUCCAGUCAUGUUCUCUGAUUCUGUGAUGGAAACCCUGGCCCUUAUCUGAGAGAAUUUUCCUUCACAGUGAAAGAAGAGGGAGCAAAGACUUCUUUGCCCCCAAGAGACCCUUACCAACAUUCUGCUGAGUGACUGAGUGAGCCCAGCCAUUGAAGCCAAACAUUUCAUUGGCCAGACUGAUGACCUUGUGACCCUCAAUGUAACAGACCUGAAAAGAAGAGCACAUACAAAUAAAUAUAUUUAUAAAUAUGUA